rnacentral:rRNA from 1 species
AAUGAACGCUGGCGGCGUGCUUAACACAUGCAAGUCGAACGAGGCCAGGGGGGCGAACUCCCUGAGUCGAGUGGCGGACGGGUGAGUAACACGUGGGUAACCUGCCCGGAAGUGGGGAAGUACCUCGGGGAAACUCGAGCUAAUACCGCAUGACACCGUUGGGACGAGAGUCCCGAUGAUCAAAGCGGGGUCGCAAGAUCUCGCGCUACCGGAUGGGCCCGCGCCCGAUUAGCUAGUUGGUGGGGUAACGGCUCACCAAGGCGACGAUCGGUAACCGGCCUGAGAGGGCGAUCGGUCACACCGGAACUGAGACACGGUCCGGACUCCUACGGGAGGCGGCAGUGGGGAAUCUUGCGCAAUGGGCGAAAGCCUGACGCAGCAACGCCGCGUGGAGGAUGAAGGCCCUUGGGUUGUAAACUCCUGUCGGUUGGGGAAGAAAUCGUUCGGGGCGUCAUACCUCCGAACGUUGACUGUACCAGCAAAGGAAGCCCCGGCUAACUCUGUGCCAGCAGCCGCUGUAAU